rnacentral:rRNA from 1 species
CCUACGGGUGGCAGCAGUUAGGAAUAUUGGUCAAUGGACGAGAGUCUGAACCAGCCAAGUAGCGUGAAGGAUGACUGCCCUAUGGGUUGUAAACUUCUUUUAUAUGGGAAUAAAAUGUUCCACGUGUGGGAUUUUGUAUGUACCAUAUGAAUAAGGAUCGGCUAACUCCGUGCCAGCAGCCGCGGUAAUACGGAGGAUCCGAGCGUUAUCCGGAUUUAUUGGGUUUAAAGGGAGCGUAGGUGGAUUGUUAAGUCAGUUGUGAAAGUUUGCGGCUCAACCGUAAAAUUGCAGUUGAAACUGGCAGUCUUGAGUACAGUAGAGGUGGGCGGAAUUCGUGGUGUAGCGGUGAAAUGCUUAGAUAUCACGAAGAACUCCGAUUGCGAAGGCAGUUCACUGGACUGCAACUGACACUGAGGCUCGAAAGUGUGGGUAUCAAACAGGAUUAGAUACCCUAGUAGUC